CGGCAAGCAGUGUGUUUGAUGUCGCCGCCGCUGCUGCGUACGUGCGCUUUGAAUUCCGCGACGUGUAGGAUGUGCAAUGACAGCCGUACAUACCUAUGUUCCGGGAAAUGUUUACCGACCGGGAACCCUCAUCACGGAGGGUCAUGCUGGUCAUGUGACAGACUUAUGUGCUAGGACCGUUAACUUAGUGCUUUCGACACAUUAAAAACGAAUGUGAUAGUGUUAUGUUAGCUGAAGGACAACCAGCUACUUCGUCGUGCUCGAUUGUGCCAAGAGUGUGAAGGUGACAGCUUUGAACAGUACCUCCGGGUAACUAAACUAG